rnacentral:rRNA from 1 species
CCAAGAAGUCUAGCAUGUACGCGAGUCGUAGGGUCUUACGAAACCUGAAGGCGCAAUGAAAGUGAAGGCUAUCUUUUUCGGUAGCUGAGGUGUGAUCCGGGCUUCAAAACUCGGCGCAACAUCGGCCCGUCUCAUUCCGCAUUGCCGGAGAGGCGGAGCUUGAGCGUACAUGCUGGGACCCGAAAGAUGGUGACCUAUGCCCGAGCAGGCUGAAGCCAGAGGAAACUCUGGUGGAAGGCCGUAGCGGUUCUGACGUGCAAAUCGAUCGUCGAACUUGGGCAUAGGGGCGAAAGACUAAUCGAACCAUCUAGUAGCUGGUUCCCUCCGAAGUUUCCCUCAGGAUAGCUGGCACUCAUUAAUGCAUUUUUAUCCGGUAAAGCGAAUGAUUAGAGGUAUUGGGGACGAAAUGUCCUCAACCUAUUCUCAAACUUUAAAUGGGUAAGACGCUUGCCUCGCUUCAUUGGAGGUGAGCCGUUCGAAUGCGUUGUGCCAAGUGGGCCACUUUUGGUAAGCAGAACUGGCGCUGUGGGAUGAACCAAACGUGUGGUUAAGGUGCCUCAGCUAACGCUUAUGAGAUACCAUGAAAGGUGUUGGUUGAUAAAGACAGCAGGGCGGUGGCCAUGGAAGUCGGAAUCCGCUAAGGAGUGUGUAACAACUCACCUGCCGAAUCAACUAGCCCUGAAAAUGGAUGGCGCUCCAGCGUCAUACCUAUACCACACCGUCGCGGCAAUAUAUUCACCCAGGAUGUGAAGCUGCGAUGAGUAGGAGGGCCGCUGCGGUAUGCGUGGAAGCCUAAGGCGUGAGCCUGGGUGGAGCUGCCGUGGGUGCAGAUCUUGGUGGUAGUAGCAAGUAUUCAAAUGAAAACUUUGAAGACUGAAGUGGAGAAGGGUUCCACGUGAACAGCACUUGAACGUGGGUGAGUCGGUCCUAAGUGAUAGGAGAACUCCGUUCUGAAAUGAGGCAAUUUGUUUUCUCUUGGUCCUAUUUGGGGAGCUUGCCUAAUCCUAUCGAAAGGGAAUCGCGUUAAUAUUCGCGAACUCGGCUGCGGAGAUUGCUCCUUCGGGAGCACAUGUGGUAACACAACCAAACUUGGAGACGCUAGCGGUGGUCCCGGGAAGAGAUUUCUUUUCUUUGUUAGGAACAGAACCCCUGGAAUCGGCUUGUCCGGAGAUAGGGGCGUUGUUGCCGUAAAGCACCGCGGCUCUUGCGGUGUCCGGAGCAUUAUCGUUGGCCCUUGAAAAUCCAAGAGCGGUAUUAUGAUUUUCGUGUCGAGCCGUACCCAUAUCCGCAUCAGGUCUC